rnacentral:lncRNA from 1 species
AACCUGUACUUGUAAAGUCUAUGGAUUAUUUUUUUUCUAUAUAGAAGAUCCUAUCAUGUAAAAAUAAUAUCUGCUUUGUCUUUUUUUUUCCAGAUCUAACUCCUCUGAUUUUUUUUCUUUUAUUUCUUUUGAACAUCGGUGAGGACCUAAGGUGGAAAUAUGUGUCUAUUUUGGGCUGGAGUAGUUAAGAAACAGAGAUGCUCUUCCCCAGGUCCAGGACUUCAUGAAACAGGGGGUGACAGCUUCCUGUUUUCUUCAUUCUUUUUGGCUCUGAGCUCGUGCUGUUGCUGAAGCAGAUGCUGGACAGCCCCGCCUGCCCCAACCAGGCUCACCUGCUCCAUCUUCCCCAAGACAGGAGGACCAAUGCCCACUCUUGACAAAGUGGAGAGGGACAAGGCAUGG